AUAAAAGCUAGCCUAUCAGGACUAAAAUCUUUGCAAAAGCUGCAGUAGAUUACUGCAGGGUGAUCACUGCAAGUUUCUAUGAAAAAAGAGACCUAAUGUGGUUGGGAAUUACUGUGCAUGGAGUGGCGAUCGGUAGAAGUUUUGCUGUUGAGUGCGCCAGGAGCUGAAUCAAGGCACAGGUGAGGCGUGUGGCACCUCUCAGUGCUUCACCUCAUACCCCAACAUGCGACACAGUCAACUGCUGUUGACCCGGCAGCGAGGAGUGAACCGCUGCGCUCGCUAGCUCCGGCGAGGCUCACAAGAAAAACAGAAGCUAUCCCACCCUGAACAAAGAGGAAGAGUAUGUGAAAUUACUCACAAAGCAAGAACUCGCCACAGAGCCGCCCAGCAUCCCGAUCACGGUGUGCUGAGCAACACGUGCAAGCAGGGACAGGCAAGAAGGAGGAAAGGAAAACAUCUGUGGAGAGAAAAGUCAACAAAUCUCAAGAGCCAAAGUGUCAUUAGUUCUAAAAUCAUAGAGGUCGGGUUAAGGAAUCCUCUGUGCAGGAUCGCAGAUACCAGUUGGGAGCCAAGUACAAAGGAAAGGGAAAGAGGAGCAUCUGUGCAACAUAAAAUCUUGCCAAUUUUCAGCUUUAUAAUCAGUUUAACCAUUUCUUCAAAUUCCAGCGAGCUGAAUAUUGCUUUCUUGCAUGCAUGCAGUGAGGAAGUCCCAGUUCUUUUUCUACAUGCAGUUAUCCUCACCAGAGCAUGCCAAAAGAACUAGAGAACGUGCACGGAAACACAGCUCUGGACUGUAUCAUUAUACCGGAUUAUUGUAGUUUAACUAAACAUCUAUUUGCAGCUUUUAACUGAAAAGUGUACACUGCGUUAUUCUGCAGGAGUGCAUCUCUUUUGUUCAGUGUUUAUUAUAACCAUUCACUGGGAAAAAUGACUCUUUUCAAAUUUCACUCGAGCAUGUACUUCUGCUUAGAUAAGAGAAUUACUGUGUUUUCUAUCAUUUCCUUUGUCCAUAGUUCAUUGCUGUUAUUAUCAAGUACCAAACAGUCAGAAUGAUCCUUGGUUCAAGACAUACCUCCAUUAAUAUAAUCCUUUCCUAACCUAGGUUUCUAAAGAGCGUUGAAUGAUUAUACCUUUAGAUGAGAAUCUCAGUCUCUUAAGCAAGUGUAAUGCCACUGCCCA